UACAGAGGUCCCGAGCGUUGUUCGGAUUCAUUGGGCGUAAAGGGUGCGUAGGCGGUCUGCUAAGUUUGAUGUGAAAUCCCGGGGCUCAACCCUGGAAUGGCAUUGAAUACUGGCGGACUAGAGUACCGGAGAGGAAACUGGAAUUUACGGUGUAGCAGUGAAAUGCGUAGAGAUCGUAAGGAAGACCAGUGGCGAAGGCGAGUCUCUGGACAGUUACUGACGCUGAGGCACGAAGGCCAGGGGAGCAAACGGG
rnacentral:rRNA from 1 species